rnacentral:rRNA from 1 species
UUUUGGACAAUGGGCGCAAGCCUGAUCCAGCCAUGCCGCGUGUAUGAAGAAGGCCUUCGGGUUGUAAAGUACUUUUGUCAGGGUAGAAAAGCCUGAGGAUAACACCCUCAGGUCAUGACGGUACCUGAAGAAUAAGCACCGGCUAACUACGUGCCAGCAGCCGCGGUAAUACGUAGGGUGCGAGCGUUAAUCGGAAUUACUGGGCGUAAAGCGAGCGCAGACGGUUAUUUAAGCAAGAUGUGAAAGCCCCGGGCUCAACCUGGGAACUGCGUUUUGAACUGGGUAACUAGAGUGUGUCAGAGGGGGGUAGAAUUCCACGUGUAGCAGUGAAAUGCGUAGAGAUGUGGAGGAAUACCGAUGGCGAAGGCAGCCCCCUGGGAUAACACUGACGUCAUGCUCGAA